AUUGAACGCUGGCGGCAGGCCUAACACAUGCAAGUCGAACGGUAACAGGAAGCAGCUUGCUGCUUUGCUGACGAGUGGCGGACGGGUGAGUAAUGUCUGGGAAACUGCCUGAUGGAGGGGGAUAACUACUGGAAACGGUGGCUAAUACCGCAUAACGUCGCAAGACCAAAGAGGGGGACCUUCGGGCCUCUUGCCAUCAGAUGUGCCCAGAUGGGAUUAGCUUGUUGGUGAGGUAACGGCUCACCAAGGCGACGAUCCCUAGCUGGUCUGAGAGGAUGACCAGCCACACUGGAACUGAGACACGGUCCAGACUCCUACGGGAGGCAGCAGUGGGGAAUAUUGCACAAUGGGCGCAAGCCUGAUGCAGCCAUGCCGCGUGUAUGAAGAAGGCCUUCGGGUUGUAAAGUACUUUCAGCGGGGAGGAAGGUGUUGUGGUUAAUAACCGCAGCAAUUGACGUUACCCGCAGAAGAAGCACCGGCUAACUCCGU
rnacentral:rRNA from 1 species